rnacentral:rRNA from 1 species
UACGUAGGGAGCAAGCGUUGUCCGGAAUCAUUGGGCGUAAAGCGCGCGUAGGUGGCCACAUAAGUCCGUUGUGAAAGUCAAAGGCUCAACCUUUGAAAGCCGAUGGAUACUGUGUGGCUAGAGUACGGAAGAGGCGAGUGGAAUUCCUGGUGUAGCGGUGGAAUGCGCAGAUAUCAGGAGGAACACCGGUGGUGUAGACGGCUCUCUGGACCGUAACUGACGCUGAGACACGAAAGCGUGGGUAGCAAACAGG